GAUGAACGCUAGCGGCAGGCUUAACACAUGCAAGUCGAGGGGCAGCACGGUAGCAAUACUGGUGGCGACCGGCAAACGGGUGCGGAACACGUACAGAACCUACCUUGAUCUGGGGCAUAGCCCGAAGAAAUUCGGAUUAACUCCCCAUAAUAUAAUUGGAUGGCAUCAUUUGGUUAUUAAAAUUUAUUGGAUCGAGAUGGCUGUGCGUCCCAUUAGCUAGUUGGUAGGGUAACGGCCUACCAAGGCGACGAUGGGUAGCUGGUGUGAGAGCACGACCAGCCACACGGGCACUGAGACACGGGCCCGACUCCUACGGGAGGCAGCAGUGAGGAAUAUUGGUCAAUGGACGCAAGUCUGAACCAGCCAUGCCGCGUGAAGGAUGAAGGCCUUCUGGGUUGUAAACUUCUUUACCUGGGAAGAAACCUCAGUUUUCUAACUGAGUUGACGGUACCAGAGGAAUAAGCACCGGCUAACUCCGUGCCAG
rnacentral:rRNA from 1 species